rfam:Chlorocebus sabaeus isolate 1994-021 chromosome 6, whole genome shotgun sequence.
GCCUGGUGUGGUGGCGGGCGCCUAUAGUCCCAGCUGCUUGGGAGGCUGAGGCAGGAGAAUGGCAUGAACCCGGGAGGCGGAGCUUGCAGUGAGCCGAGAUGGUACCACUGCACUCCAGCCUGGGCGACAGAGGGAGACUCCGUCUCAAAAAAAAAAAAAAAAAAUUAAUUGAUUAAUUUUUUUUUUGAGAUGGGGUCUCGCUCUGUCGCUCAGGCUGGAGUGCAGUGGCGCCAUCUCGGCUCACUGCAAGCUCCGCCUCCCGGGUUCAUGCCAUUCUCCUGCCUCAG